CGCCCGGUAGGCUUUGGAGCUUGAGAGGGGUCCAAAUGCUAUGAGUUAUAUGGUGGAGGAGAUCUGGCAGGAGCUUGCAAAAGCUAAAUACAUGGAAUGGGAGCAUGGGUCUACCAAGCGAUCAAUGGAAUUACAAACUCUGGAAUGGAAGGGUUCUUAGACGAAGCUAUGAGUGUCAAUUCUGUACAAUUAGAGGCUCUACGACAAGUGUUUAAAACAGCCAAAUAAGCAGACAUGCCAAAAGAGGUGCCAGAUUACCUAUGUUGUAAAGUUACGCUUGAUAUUUUACGGGAUCCUUGAACAUCUUCAGAAGGAAAAGUUGAUAUUUACAUUGAUAUGUGUAGUUGAAUUUUGGUGUCCACCUGGUGUUAAUUUCCCGCUUUAUCACAAGUCAGGUGGGAAAUUUUGAUCCCAUUACUCGGGGAACCUCUUUCUCCGUCGCAGCUGAUACCAAAUUUGGCCAUAAAAGCAGCAGUCCAAGCCUUUCUAGACAAGCAUGGUUGGGCAUACCGGAUGGACUGAGUGAUUUUGUCAAACGUGAGACCUCAAGAAGAAUCUGUCAUUCAUGCGUGAGUUGUGUCAUCAACAAAGGGGCGGAAGAGUCAGGUAUCUACCUAGGCUAGUAUGUGAUUUGCCAUGAUUCAGGAAGAAUGGUACAAGCCUCAUUCAUACCAGUUUGGUGAUCGACUAUUAAAUAUAAGUCUGGUAUGGUAAAAGAUACUGUAGCAUAGACAUGGAAAUACCAUGGCUCUGAGUUUGAGUUAAAUUGGAUUAAUUUUGUGGGAAGGGACCAUUAAUCAGUAUUGUAGUGAAAGCGCUAAGACAGUAAAUUUUGUUCCCUUGAAAGGCCUGAAGAUGAAAAGGAUAAUGUUUGCCAUUUUGUUGUCCACGUGUCUUACGUACAUAUAGAUGGUUGUUUCGCAUGUGGAGGGGCACUCCCAUUGUAAAUGUAGCGUUCGUCCUCUACUGCUACAGCUGUUUCUAGUAGUGUUUGUACGGUGUUUACGCUGAUUUUUGAAGUGAAAUAUGAAACUGACUGGCGGUGGGGCAUU